GGAUUAGAUACCCUGGUAGUCCAUGCCGUAAACGAUGAAUGCUAGGUGUUGCGGAUAUUGACCUCUGCAGUGCCGAAGUUAACACAUUAAGCAUUCCGCCUGGGGAGUACGGUCGCAAGAUUAAAACUCAAAGGAAUUGACGGGGGCCCGCACAAGCGGUGGAGCAUGUGGUUUAAUUCGACGCAACGCGAAAAACCUUACCUGGGUUUAAAUUGUUAGAGACCGGUGUGGAAACACACUUUCCCUUAUGGGUUCUAAUAAAGGUGUUGCAUGGCUGUCGUCAGCUCGUGCCG
rnacentral:rRNA from 1 species